rnacentral:rRNA from 1 species
AGGGACAGCAGUAGCCGCGGGAAUACGUAGGUGGCAAGCGUUGUCCGGAAUUAUUGGGCGUAAAGGGCUCGCAGGCGGUUUCUUAAGUCUGAUGUGAAAGCCCCCGGCUCAACCGGGGAGGGUCAUUGGAAACUGGGAAACUUGAGUGCAGAAGAGGAGAGUGGAAUUCCACGUGUAGCGGUGAAAUGCGUAGAGAUGUGGAGGAACACCAGUGGCGAAGGCGACUCUCUGGUCUGUAACUGACGCUGAGGAGCGAAAGCGUGGGGAGCGAACAGGAUUAGAUACCCGCGUAGUCCCUGUCUCUUAUAC